rnacentral:rRNA from 1 species
UACGUAGGGUCCGAGCGUUGUCCGGAAUUAUUGGGCGUAAAGGGCUCGUAGGCGGUUUGUCGCGUCGGGAGUGAAAACACGGGGCUUAACCCCGUGCCUGCUUCCGAUACGGGCAGACUAGAGGUAUGCAGGGGAGAACGGAAUUCCUGGUGUAGCGGUGAAAUGCACAGAUAUCAGGAGGAACACCCGUGGCGAAGGCGGCUCUCUGGGACGGUACUGACGCUGAGACGCGAAAGCGUGGGGAGCGAACAGG